rnacentral:rRNA from 1 species
UAGGGAAUCUUCCGCAAUGGACGCAAGUCUGACGGAGCAACGCCGCGUGAGUGAAGAAGGAUUUCGGUUCGUAAAACUCUGUUGUUAGAGAAGAACAGCGCAUAGAGUAACUGUUAUGCGUGUGACGGUAUCUAACCAGAAAGCCACGGCUAACUACGUGCCAGCAGCCGCGGUAAAACGUAGGUGGCAAGCGUUGUCCGGAUUUAUUGGGCGUAAAGCGAGCGCAGGCGGUCAAUUAAGUCUGAUGUGAAAGCCCCCGGCUCAACCGGGGAGGGUCAUUGGAAACUGGUUGACUUGAGUGCAGAAGAGGAGAGUGGAAUUCCAUGUGUAGCGGUGAAAUGCGUAGAUAUAUGGAGGAACACCAGUGGCGAAGGCGACUCUCUGGUCUGUAACUGACGCUGAGGCUCGAAAGCGUGGGUAGCAAACAGG